UCAGCAAUGUUGUGGCAAAAUGGCCUGGCUCAGUCCAUGACUCCAGAAUCUUUCGGGCCUCUGAAAUCUAUCAGUGCCUAUCACAAGGUGAAUUCUCUGGUGUGUUGCUGGGAGACAGGGGGUAUGGCUGCCAGCCUUUUCUCCUGACACCUUUCACAGACCCCCAGGAAGCACAGCAGGCCUACAACCAUGCCCAUGCCAGGACCAGGGCCAGAGUUGAAAUGACCUUUGGCCUCCUGAAGGCACGCUUUCACUGCCUUCACAAAUUAAGGGUCAGCCCUGUUAGGGCAUGUGAUAUUACUGUGGCUUGUGCUGUCCUCCACAAUGUGGCCUGCCUGAGGAAGGAGAGGGCCCCCAGAGUGCCACCAGCCAUGGACUGGGACAAUCCGGCAAUCUUCCCUGAUGACGACAGUGGUCGGCUGCUGAGGGACCAAUAUGUGUUGAAUUAUUUUAGUUAGUAUGUGUGCUUUCAAUUUUGGUUAAAUAUGUCCUGCGGUGGCAGAGGAAUUUGGUUUUUUUUGGGUUCGUUUUUUUACGAAUUUGGCCUCUUAUGAUGUUUGUGCGGUAUACUGUGUGUAAUACAAGGCUGCAGGGAGGCUACUGCAUCCAUUCAUUUGUCUGUUCAGUUGAUGUGUAUGGAUUUGUCCUGCAUUUAUUUUAGUGUGCAGACAUGCAGGGUGUGUUAUAUACAGACCUUUGAAUGUGUAUGUAUCAUUUUGUAUAAUAUGCUUGGAUUCUGUGCUUUCCAUCUUGUAGAGUCACUGUGACUUCAGUUUCGAAAGGAGCUGAUGGUUUACCUGCUUUGUUUUGUCCUUAUUCAAUAAAGGAACAUAAUGUUA